GAUGAACGCUGGCGGCGUGCUUAACACAUGCAAGUCGAACGAUGAAGCCCAGCUUGCUGGGUGGAUUAGUGGCGAACGGGUGAGUAACACGUGAGCAACCUGCCCCUGACUCUGGGAUAAGCGCUGGAAACGGCGUCUAAUACUGGAUAUGUCCCGUCACCGCAUGGUGUGCGGGUGGAAAGAUUUUUCGGUUGGGGAUGGGCUCGCGGCCUAUCAGCUUGUUGGUGAGGUAAUGGCUCACCAAGGCGUCGACGGGUAGCCGGCCUGAGAGGGUGACCGGCCACACUGGGACUGAGACACGGCCCAGACUCCUACGGGAGGCAGCAGUGGGGAAUAUUGCACAAUGGGCGGAAGCCUGAUGCAGCAACGCCGCGUGAGGGAUGACGGCCUUCGGGUUGUAAACCUCUUUUAGCAGGGAAGAAGCGAAAGUGACGGUACCUGCAGAAAGAGCACCGGCUAACUACGU
rnacentral:rRNA from 1 species